CACCUGCGCCACAAGUGGCAAUCACUUUUAUUGGGCCUAAAGCGUCCGUAGCCGGUCUUGUGAAUUCUUUGUGAAAUCGUCAAGCUUAACUUGACGGCGUGCAGAGAACACUGCUAGACUAGGAACCGGGAGGAGUCAGAGGUAUUUUUGGGGGAGCGGUAAAAUGCUAUAAUCCCAAAAGGACCACCUGUGGCGGAGGCGUCUGACUAGAACGGAUUCGACGGUGAGGGACGAAAGCCAGGGGAGCGAUCCG
rnacentral:rRNA from 1 species